rnacentral:lncRNA from 13 species
AGUACUAUAGUAAACACCAUUCUAUAGUACUAUAGUAAACACCAUUCUAUAGUACUAUAGUAAACACCAUUCUAUAGUACUAUAGUAAACACCAUUCUAUAGUACUAUAGUAAACACCAUUCUACAGUACUAUAGUAAACACCAUUCUAUAGUACUAUAGUAAACACCAUUGUAGUCACAGCAAGUCUAUGAUGCUAUUGAUAACCGGUGUUGGGGAAAGCUACUCUGAAAAGAUAGUUUAGCAAACUACCAAUUACUUCACACUGAAAGAAUUUAAGCUACCCCCUAUGACAAAUAUAGUUGACUUAAUUAAAGUUACUUUGAAAAAGUAGUUCAUCCAAACUACUUUAAAAUGAUCUGUAAAUCUGAAAAGUCAUACACUACAAAUUACAUGNNNNNNNNNNUCCUCCACUACAUUCAUUAGUCUCUCUCUCUCUCUCUUCCUCCACUACAUUCAUUAGUCUCUCUCUCUCUCUCUCUACCACACCUGCUGUCUAGACCUCUGAAUGACCCCUUGGUCUUCUAUGAACGUUUGAACAUCUUGAAGAACAAUCUGACCUUAAUGGCCAUGAACUAUCUCCCCCCAGCACAGCCGUAGACGACUGGCUAGCCCUCAGAGCCUGGUUCCUCUCUCCCCAGUACAGCCAGUAGAAGACUGGUCACCACUCAGAGCCUGGUUCCUCUCUACCCAGUACAGCCAGUAGAGGACUGGUCACCCCUCAGAGCCUGGUUCCUCUCCCCCCAGUACAGCCAGUAGAGGACUGGUCACCCCUCAGAGCCUGGCUCCUCUCUACCCAGUACAGCCAGUAGAGGACUGGUCACCCUUC